CAUUCUGCAAGGUACGUCUCCUGACACAGUGUCUGUGCCAGGCAGCCUCAGAGUCAGGCUUCCACAAGAGCCGUGGGUGUUCUGCAGCCCUCUGCAUGGCCGAGCCUUUCUAAACAUCUUCAGACAAAGGCACUGAAUUGUUAGUGUGUGACUUCACCGCCUUUGCAGCAUGAAUCUCUCAGGAAGUUUCCUUCCUAAUGACUGAAGUUCUUGAGGGUCCUCAGCAGGACAGGAGAUGCCUUUACCAGCAAGUUCUCUGGCCUCUUGACGAGUCUAUCUCCAGUUAUUUGUGGGAGUCCGAGAGGUGACUGUGUUAAACUGAGUAACGUCUGAGGACUGUCUCAUUCAAGCAAGGAGCAUUGGGACCCGUUUGAGGUCCUCUCCCAACAUAAGAUAGGUCAUGAUGCUCCAGGCUGUGAAAAGGCAGGGACAACAUCCCAGCCAUUUGAAUCUGAGGGAACAUGGUAUGUAAGCUAGUAAAGUCGUAUCAACUCAUAUGAUUCUAACUGAAAAUACCAAGCUCAGGUUCUAGGCUGGGUAUACUUGAGAAUCAUUCCUAGCAUUUAGAAGGGUUUGCUAUGGUAUGAUUUGCUUUCUUCUAGAUGGAGCCUGUUUUAACUGUAUAUGUGACCUGGGGACCCCUCUCCUGAAUGAAUGGGGAGUAGCACAGAGGCUGUGGUAGCAGUGGCAGGUGGAGUGAGAGCCCUGGGGUCUGGAGCAUAGACAGCCAGGCCUGCGUUCUGCAUGUAUGAUUUCCUGCUCUCCAGAUGCCUCUCCUCUAAAAGCCUUAUUUUUGACAACUGCUCAGGAGGCCUGACCCAAUCAGAAGCUGGAAGAGAAAAAGCGAAUUAGCUGGUUUGCCUGGUUCUACUCAUUGAGCAAAAACCUAUUUGGUGUCGCUCUGGGCAGUGAAAGAUGCUGGGAACAGAAGAUGGAGCACCCGGGUCCUGAUGGUGGAAGGUGCUCCGGGGACCUCCACCUACAAAGAGGGAAAGGAGAGACGGAGCUGGGCCCCUGGCAGAGAAGCCCUCCCCUACACUGCCCUGAGUAUGAGAUAAGGAAGGAGGAGAGGCAGCGGCAGAAGGAGGAGAGGCUUGCUCCAGAGGGGCACAGCUGCAACAUCACUUCACCAUCACCAGGCUAACUGGGCAUGUGCACGAAAACACCGGGUGAGCACUUUGGUGGAAAGAGUUACCGAAAGCUGGGCUUGGCAUCAAGAGUUGCCUUGUUGCCGGGCGAUGGUGGCACACGCCUUUAAUCCCAGCACUCGGGAGGCAGAGGCAGACGGAUCUCUGUGAAUUCAAAGCCAGCCUGGUCUACAAGAGCUAGUUCCAGGACAAGCUCCAAAGCCACAGAGAAACCCUGUCUCGAAAAACCAAAAAGAAAAAAAAAAAAAAAAAGGGUUGCCUUGUUCCACAGAAGGGCAGAUAGGGAAAGAUGCUCAUGUCUCCACCAGUGUGUCUAGUCCUUGUCAGGGAAGCUGACCCAGAGAAAAGGCUGGACAGGCGGACUGGCUGCUCAGUGUCCCAGGGAAGAACAUCCCUGUUCUGGACACCGACAGAAAAAGAAUCACAGUUAGCCAACAAGUGGGACCUUGAAAAUAGAAACAUCAGGGAAGAGUGGCGUUUAGCCCAUUCACUUUGCUAAAAUUGGGGAGACUGGUGGGUUGAAUGUAAAUAUUCACCCGAUAGACAAUUGUCUUGGCCAAGUCUGGUGGCACAUGCCUGUGAUCCCAGCACUUGAGAAGCGAGUCAGGAGGAUUACUGUUGUUGAGGUCAGCUUAGGCUCCAUAAUCAGACCUUGUCUCAAAACCAAACAAACAGAAGCUAAGCACCAAACAUAAAAAGUUGCUGUGCUGACUAUUCUACCGGGCGCUCGCCUGUUCCCACAUCAGUCGGUAUUCUACUCUCAGACUCUGUAGUGUCCCAUUUGUCCUGACGCUGUUUACAGAUUUCCAAGAAGAGUUCUCAUUCCUUCUCUAUUCCAAAAAGAGCUCUCAUGUACAUAUUCACACAAGGAGAUUCACUGACAUUUAAUUCAGUAUGAAUGUCUGUGGAUGCCCUGAGGUCACACACAGCUGGAGACCAAGAAGAGGAGAAGACAGAGAGAAAGCAGCCGAUGGCCUAAUAACUCAGACCCAGCAAAUGACACGGUGGGGAGCUCUCUAACUCAACUUGUUUGUUUGGAUUCUGGUUUUGCUUUUUCUCACCUUGUAGAUCCCGUGUGUGGAGCUGAAGCCAAUAACUUGGAAAUGCUGGCGAGCACAAACCAAAAUAUUUCCAUCAGAAGCUUACUCUCUCUGACAAAAGGCAGGAAAUGAUGGCCGCCCAGCCUGUUAUUGACCUCACUGUCUUAGCCAGGCACUGAAGAACCAGGUGGUCCCACCCCUCCCACAACAGAAUCCAAGCAGGGUAUCUAGACCACACCACAAACAGACUGCCACACUCACCAAAGGUCUACAUCUCAGAGUUCAUGUGACAACAUCAGGCAGCUCUUAGUGCCAAGAGCCCAUUCCUCUGUUCAAACAUCCCAAGCAAUGGGGAAUCGGGCUAGAAGAAAGUGGCUCGCUGUGUAGCUCAAGUUGGGAUGCUGCUGGGGAUGCUGGUUCUGCCCCUCACUAACUCAGGGUAACUUUAUACUUUGUAAAUCUCAUCUGUAAAAUGAAGGCAGCAGUAUAUCCAUUUAAAGGACUUGUAAGACAAGUGAGGGGAGCACAUAACGAGGGUUGUGUAGAUGCACAGCCCACAAAGGCAACAGUGCCAGCUCGUGUUUAGUACCAAUGCUCUAAAUAACAAGUCUAUAUGUAGUCAACAAAAUUUUAGUUGACCCCUAAAUGCAUUAAAUCGAUUAACUGUUUUCCUA